GGGUCAGUAGGUUGGUCGUGCCACCGGUACGUACUGGUCUCACUGAUUCCUCCUUCCUGAAGAACCGUAAUGCCAUUAAUUUGGUGUUGCGGGGAAACAGGACUGUUACUUUGAAAAAAUUAGAGUGUUUAAAGCAAGCUAACACUUGAAUACAUAAGCAUGGAAUAACGAAAUAGGACGAUCGAUCCUAUUUUGUUGGUUUCUAGGAUUGACGUA
rnacentral:rRNA from 1 species